GACGAACGCUGGCGGCGUGCUUAACACAUGCAAGUCGAACGGAAAGGCCCUGCUUUUGUGGGGUGCUCGAGUGGCGAACGGGUGAGUAACACGUGAGUAACCUGCCCUUGACUUUGGGAUAACUUCAGGAAACUGGGGCUAAUACCGGAUAGGAGCUCCUGCUGCAUGGUGGGGGUUGGAAAGUUUCGGCGGUUGGGGAUGGACUCGCGGCUUAUCAGCUUGUUGGUGGGGUAGUGGCUUACCAAGGCUUUGACGGGUAGCCGGCCUGAGAGGGUGACCGGCCACAUUGGGACUGAGAUACGGCCCAGACUCCUACGGGAGGCAGCAGUGGGGAAUAUUGCACAAUGGGCGGAAGCCUGAUGCAGCAACGCCGCGUGCGGGAUGACGGCCUUCGGGUUGUAAACCGCUUUCGCCUGUGACGAAGCGUGAGUGACGGUAAUGGGUAAAGAAGCACCGGCUAACUACGUGCCAGCAGCCGCGGUGAUACGUAGGGUGCGAGCGUUGUCCGGAUUUAUUGGGCGUAAAGGGCUCGUAGGUGGUUGAUCGCGUCGGAAGUGUAAUCUUGGGGCUUAACCCUGAGCGUGCUUUCGAUACGGGUUGACUUGAGGAAGGUAGGGGAGAAUGGAAUUCCUGGUGGAGCGGUGGAAUGCGCAGAUAUCAGGGGGAACACCAGUGGCGAAGGCGGUUCUCUGGGCCUUUCCUGACGCUGAGGAGCGAAAGCGUGGGGAGCGAACAGGCUUAGAUACCCUGGUAGUCCACGCUGUAAACGGUGGGUACUAGGUGUGGGGUCCAUUCCACGGGUUCCGUGCCGUAGCUAACGCUUUAAGUACCCCGCCUGGGGAGUACGGCCGCAAGGCUAAAACUCAAAGGAAUUGACGGGGCCCCGCACAAGCGGCGGAGCAUGCGGAUUAAUUCGAUGCAACGCGUAGAACCUUACCUGGGUUUGACAUGGAUCGGGAGUGCUCAGAGAUGGGUGUGCCUCUUUUGGGGUCGGUUCACAGGUGGUGCAUGCCUGUCGUCAGCUCGUGUCGUGAGAUGUUGGGUUAAGUCCCGCAACGAGCGCAACCCUUGUUCACUGUUGCCAGCACGUUAUGGUGGGGACUCAGUGGAGACCGCCGGGGUCAACUCGGAGGAAGGUGGGGAUGACGUCAAGUCAUCAUGCCCCUUAUGUCCAGGGCUUCACGCAUGCUACAAUGGCUGGUACAGAGAGUGGCGAGCCUGUGAGGGUGAGCGAAUCUCGGAAAGCCGGUCUCAGUUCGGAUUGGGGUCUGCAACUCGACCUCAUGAAGUCGGAGUCGCUAGUAAUCGCAGAUCAGCAACGCUGCGGUGAAUACGUUCCCGGGGCU
rnacentral:rRNA from 1 species